CAUUGACGGAAGCCUCCGAGAUGAUGUCACAAGGACAACCAGCCAGUCUAAAAUACAAACCAAAAAGUUUGGGUAAAAAAAAAGUAUAAUUAAAAAAAAAAUGUAUGUUUUCACUAAUAAACAGAAAUCAAUCGAUCGACGGGCUCCGCGACGAGCCCAGGGCGGGCGCUUUGCUAAAAACAAUUUUGGUCGUCAACGCCAAAGGUGGAAUCGAAGGAAAGAAAAAAGAAAAAAAUAUAUGGAAAAAUAUACAAAAGAAUUACACACAUGGCGGUGAAAAUUUGGUUUAGUUUUCAAAUUCACUCGGAUUUCCGACGAGCGAACGACCCACACAAGUACCUGAAUUGUAAAACUCUUGAAAGUCAGAACAAAGCACGCUAACAACUACACUUCAGACAAGGGAGGUCCCUUCGUUGGCAUCAAGAAUUUAACAAUGGACAGUAACAAAACAUGAAGCUAAUCUUUAUUCAAAAAUUAUCGGCAUUGACUGGCCAUUAUGGAUGGUUUAUAUUAACGACGGCUGGGCCAUCUGCGGUAGUAGGUUAUAGAUUAAAUAAUUAAAAACAUUAAGCAGAAUGUACCUGCACAAAUACCCAUAAAAUUUUAUGUAUUUGGAAAACAAUAUCUUUCCAGUAAGAGAACAUUAUUAAUAUGAAUAUGUAAAAUUAGAAAAUGAACGAUUAAAAUUACUAUAUCUGUUUUGUGUAAUUUUUUCAAAACA